CCUUUGACUGGUAUCUUUGAGUCGUCUCCAAAUGAGACAUCGCCAGUUGCCGCUUCAUUGAUCUCCACGAACAUGCUUUGAUCGCUGCACAUGUGGUUGCUUGCACCGGUGUUGAGGUACCACUUGUUUCUUUUCUCUUCAAAUUUGUUUUGGCACGCGAGUAGCAAAGUUUCUUCUUCUCCGCCUUUUUCUUCUACAAAGUUAGCUUUCUCUUCAACCUUCUUCGAGAAUCUACACUCGGAUACGUAGUGACCAAUCUUGUUGCAAUUGAAGCAUUUGAUUUGUGAUUUGUCAUACCUCGACCAUGAAU
rnacentral:lncRNA from 1 species